rnacentral:rRNA from 1 species
ACCGUGAUAGCUGGUUCUCCCCGAAAUGCAUUUAGGUGCAGCGUUGCGUGUUUCUUGUUGGAGGUAGAGCGACUGGAUGGUUUAGCGGGACUAUCAUCUUAGCGACAUCAGCCAAACUCCGAAUGCCAGCAAGGUGAGAGCGUGGCAGUGAGACUGCGGGGGAUAAGCUCCGUGGGUCGAGAGGGAAACAGCCCAGAUCGCCGGCUAAGGCCCCUAAGUGUGUACUAAGUGGAAAAGGAUGUGGGAUCGCGAAGACAACCAGGAGGUUGGCUUAGAAGCAGCCAUCCUUGAAAGAGUGCGUAAUAGCUCACUGGUCGAGUGGUUGUGCGCCGACAAUGUAGUGGGGCUGAAGUGCACCGCCGAAGCCGCGGAAACCACGUUUGUGGUUUGGUAGGGGAGCGUCGUGUGCUCGUGGAAGCUGCCAGGUGACUGGUGGUGGAGGGUAUGCGAGUGAGAAUGCAGGCAUGAGUAGCGAAUGACAAGUGAGAAUCUUGUCCGCCGGAUGACUAAGGGUUCCUGGGUUAAGCUUUUCUUCCCAGGGUGAGUCGGGGCCUAAGGCGAGGCCGUCAGGCGUAGUCGAUGGAUAACGGGUUGAUAUUCCCGUACCCGUGCAUGCGCGCCCAUGGUGAAUCAGUGAUACUAACCGCCCUGAAGCACGCAUUGCGGUCUUUGGAUUGUGGUGUGUGUGGAUGCGUGGGGCCUGAUCUGGUAGUAGUCAAGUGAUGGGGUGACGCAGUGUGGUAGCCGAGCCACUGAGUGGAUUGUGGUGUAAGCGUGUAGCCCGGCAUUUAGGUAAAUCCGGAUGCUAUUGAGGGUGAGGCGUGAUGCGUACCCGUUGUGGGGAUGUUGGUGAUCCAUUGCUGUCGAGAAAAGCCUCUAGCGAUGUGUGUGUGCGGCCCGUACCCGAAACCGACACAGGUGGUCAGGUAGAGAAUACUAAGGCGACGGGUGAACUGUGGUUAAGGAAUUCGGCAAAAUGCCCCCGUAACUUCGGGAGAAGGGGGACCACUGCUGGUGACAGACUGGUUGAGCUGGUGGUGGUCGCAGAGAGUAGAGGGAAGCGACUGUUUACUAAAAACACAGGUCCGUGCGAAGACGUGAAGUCGAGGUAUACGGACUGACGCCUGCCCGGUGCUGGAAGGUUAAGAGGACCUGUUAGGCCGCUUUUGGUGGUCGAAGCGGAGAAUUUAAGCCCCAGUAAACGGCGGUGGUAACUAUAACCAUCCUAAGGUAGCGAAAUUCCUUGUCGGGUAAGUUCCGACCUGCACGAAUGGCGUAACGACUUCUCUGCUGUCUCAACCACAGGCCCGGCGAAAUUGCAGUACGAGUAAAGAUGCUCGUUACGCGCGGCAGGACGAAAAGACCCCGGGACCUUCACUAUAGCUUGGUAUUGGUGUUUGGUUCGGUUUGUGUAGGAUAGGUGGGAGACUGUGAAGCGGCCACGCUAGUGGUGGUGGAGUCGUUGGUGAAAUACCACUCUGAUCGUAUUGAGCAUCUCAACCUCGGCCCAUGAUCUGGGUUAGGGACAGUGCCUGGUGGGUAGUUUAACUGGGGCGGUUGCCUCCUAAAUGGUAACGGAGGCGCCCAAAGGUUCCCUCAGCCUGGUUGGCAAUCAGGUGGUGAGUGUAAGUGCAUAAGGGAGCUUGACUGUGAGACUGACGGGUCGAGCAGGAACGAAAGUUGGGACUAGUGAUCCGGCACUGGCUUGUGGAUGCGGUGUCGCUCAACGGAUAAAAGGUACCCCGGGGAUAACAGGCUGAUCUUCCCCAAGAGUCCAUAUCGACGGGAUGGUUUGGCACCUCGAUGUCGGCUCGUCGCAUCCUGGGGCUGGAGUAGGUCCCAAGGGUUGGGCUGUUCGCCCAUUAAAGCGGCACGCGAGCUGGGUUUAGAACGUCGUGAGACAGUUCGGUCUCUAUCCGCCGCGCGCGUGGAAACUUGAGAAAGGCUGUCCCUAGUACGAGAGGACCGGGACGGACGUACCUCUGGUGUGCCAGUUGUUCUGCCUGGGGCAGGGCUGGUUGGCUACGUACGGGAGGGAUAACCGCUGAAAGCAUCUAAGCGGGAAGCCUGUUUCAUGAUGAGGUUUCUUUU